AUUGAACGCUGGCGGCAUGCUUUACACAUGCAAGUCGAACGGUAACAGGCCGCAAGGUGCUGACGAGUGGCGAACGGGUGAGUAAUGCAUCGGAACGUGCCCAGUCGUGGGGGAUAACGCAGCGAAAGCUGCGCGAAUACCGCAUACGAUCUAUGGAUGAAAGCGGGGGACCGAAAGGCCUCGCGCGAUUGGAGCGGCCGAUGUCAGAUUAGGUAGGUGGGGGGGUAAGGGCCUACCAAGCCGACGAUCGGUAGCUGGUCUGAGAGGACGACCAGCCACACUGGGACUGAGACACGGCCCAGACUCCUACGGGAGGCAGCAGUGGGGAAUUUUGGACAAUGGGCGCAAGCCUGAUCCAGCAAUGCCGCGUGCAGGAAGAAGGCCUUCGGGUUGUAAACUGCUUUUGUACGGAACGAAACGGUCUGGGUUAAUACCCUGGGCUAAUGACGGUACCGUAAGGAUAAGCACCGGCUAACUACGUGCCAGCCGCCGCGGUAA
rnacentral:rRNA from 1 species